rnacentral:rRNA from 1 species
AUGCUCGUCAGAGGGUGGGCCCCACAGACCGCCAUCCUGGCUCAUCCGGCCGUGGGGGCAUUCCUGACGCACUGCGGGUCGAGCUCUCUGCUGGAGGCGGCGGCGGCCGGCGUGCUGAUGCUGACGUGGCCGCUGGUGUUCGACCAGUUCAUCGAGGAGAGGCUGGUCACGGACGUUCUCAAGAUCGGAGAGAGGGUGUGGGACGGGCCACGGAGCACGAGGUACGAGGAGCAGCAGAUGGUGCCGGCCGCGGCGGUGGCGCGGGCCGUGGCGAGGUUCUUGGAGCCUGGGGGAACAGGGGAGGCGGCGAGGGCUCGAGCGCAGGAGCUCGCCGUGAAGGCUCACGCCGCCGUGGCGGAAGGCGGGUCGUCGUACAAUGAUCUGCACAGGCUUAUCAGCGAUCUGAUGGAAACACGGAAGAUCUAG